GAUGAACGCUAGCUACAGGCUUAACACAUGCAAGUCGAGGGGAAACGACAUCGAAAGCUUGCUUUUGAUGGGCGUCGACCGGCGCACGGGUGAGUAACGCGUAUCCAACCUGCCCACCACUUGGGGAUAACCUUGCGAAAGUAAGACUAAUACCCAAUGACGUCUCUAGAAGACAUCUGAAAGGGAUUAAAGAUUUAUCGGUGAUGGAUGGGGAUGCGUCUGAUUAGCUUGUUGGCGGGGUAACGGCCCACCAAGGCGACGAUCAGUAGGGGUUCUGAGAGGAAGGUCCCCCCACAUUGGAACUGAGACACGGUCCAAACUCCUACGGGAGGCAGCAGUGAGGAAUAUUGGUCAAUGGGCGAGAGCCUGAACCAGCCAAGUAGCGUGCAGGAUGACGGCCCUAUGGGUUGUAAACUGCUUUAUAAGGGAAUAAAGUGAGCCUCGUGAGGCUUUUUGCAUGUACCUUAUGAAUAAGGACCGGCUAAUUCCGUG
rnacentral:rRNA from 1 species